rnacentral:rRNA from 1 species
UACGUAGGGCGCAAGCGUUGUCCGGAUUUAUUGGGCGUAAAGAGCGUGUAGGCGGCCUGACAAGUCUGCUGUGAAAACUCGAGGCUCAACCUCGAGAUGUCGGCGGAAACUGUCUGGCUAGAGUCCGGAAGAGGAGAGUGGAAUUCCUGGUGUAGCGGUGAAAUGCGCAGAUAUCAGGAAGAACACCUAUGGCGAAGGCAGCUCUCUGGGACGGUACUGACGCUGAGACGCGAAAGCGUGGGGAGCGAACAGG